rnacentral:rRNA from 1 species
UACGAAGGGGGCUAGCGUUGCGCGGAAUCACUGGGCGUAAAGGGGGCGUAGGCGGGUCUUUAAGUCAGGGGGGAAAUCCUGGAGCUCAACUCCAGAACUGCCUUUGAUACUGAAGAUCUUGAGUUCGGGAGAGGUGAGUGGAACUGCGAGUGUAGAGGUGAAAUUCGUAGAUAUUCGCAAGAACACCAGUGGCGAAGGCAGCAGACUGGGGCACUCCUGACACUGAGACACGAAAGCGUGGGUAGCGAAUGGG